rnacentral:rRNA from 1 species
AUUGAACGCUGGCGGCAUGCUUUACACAUGCAAGUCGAACGGUAACAGGCCGCAAGGUGCUGACGAGUGGCGAACGGGUGAGUAAUGCAUCGGAACGUGCCCAGUCGUGGGGGAUAACUACUCGAAAGAGUAGCUAAUACCGCAUACGAUCUAUGGAUGAAAGCGGGGGACCGUAAGGCCUCGCGCGAUUGGAGCGGCCGAUGUCAGAUUAGGUAGUUGGUGGGGUAAAGGCUCACCAAGCCAACGAUCUGUAGCUGGUCUGAGAGGACGACCAGCCACACUGGGACUGAGACACGGCCCAGACUCCUACGGGAGGGCGCAGUGGGGAAUUUUGGACAAUGGGCGGAAGCCUGAUCCAGCAAUGCCGCGUGGAGGAAGAAGGCCUUCGGGUUGUAAACUGCCUUUGUACGGAACGAAACGGCUCUGGUUAAUACCCGGGGCUAAUGACGGUACCGGAAGAAUAAGCACCGGCUAACUACGUG